rnacentral:tRNA from 2 species
ACUUCCAAAGGACAGAAG